GUUUAAGCCGAGCAGGACGGAGAUGGCGGCACGCUGCAACUUCUGGCUUCCCAAGAAGAAGAGAUUUUGCUCAAACGUCCUUCUCCGAGAUUCACAGUUCUGCGGAAACCAUACUCAAAGAUCUGAUGGACAAUGGGUUCCUUGCCCUAUACACCCUUCUCACUCUGUGCUGGAAGAGAAUCUGCAGAGUCAUCUUAAGCGAUGCCCAUUUUUCAAACAAGCUCAAUCUUUGUCGAUUCAGCCUUUUUACCAGGAGGGUAUUAAUGCUGGCAAAGAAGAAGAAGAAGGGGUGCAGAAUUUUAGUUCAGAGAUGAAGAGGAAUGCAGUUCACGGGAUGACCCUUUUUGAAUUCUCCCAGUUGAUUAACAAGAUCAAGUCUAUUCAUGCUUCCAUAUGUAGUGACAUUGGUGAUUCAUUCAAGAUUCCUCAAGCUUGUGAUAUUUGGACUAAUCGACAAGUGGACCGGGG
rnacentral:misc_RNA from 1 species